CCUACGGGAGGCAGCAGUAGGGAAUCUUCCACAAUGGGCGAAAGCCUGAUGGAGCAACGCCGCGUGGGUGAAGAAGGUCUUCGGAUCGUAAAACCCUGUUGUUAGAGAAGAAAGUGCGUGAGAGUAACUGUUCACGUUUCGACGGUAUCUAACCAGAAAGCCACGGCUAACUACGUGCCAGCAGCCGCGGUAAUAAGUAGGUGGCAAGCGGUAUCCGGAUUUAUUGGGCGUAAAGGGAACGCAGGCGGUCUUUUAAGUCUGAUGGGAAAGCCUUCGGCUUAACCGGAGUAGUGCAUUGGAAACUGGGAGACUUGAGUGCAGAAGAGGAGAGUGGAACUCCAUGUGUAGCGGUGAAAUGCGUAGAUAUAUGGAAGAACACCAGUGGCGAAAGCGGCUCUCUGGUCUGUAACUGACGCUGAGGUUCGAAAGCGUGGGUAGCAAACAGGAUUAGAUACCCCAGUAGUC
rnacentral:rRNA from 1 species